rnacentral:rRNA from 1 species
AUACGUAGGGGGCGAGCGUUGUCCGGAAUGAUUGGGCGUAAAGGGCGCGUAGGCGGCCGCUUAAGUCUGGAGUGAAAGUCCCGUUUUCAAGAUGGGAAUUGCUUUGGAUACUGGGGGGCUUGAGUGCAGGAGAGGUUAUCGGAAUCCCCGGUGUAGCGGUGAAAUGCGUAGAGAUCGGGAGGAACACCAGUGGCGAAGGCGGGUAACUGGACUGCAACUGACGCUGAGGCGCGAAAGUGUGGGGAGCAAACAGGAUUAGAUACCCUGGUAGUCCACACUGUAAACGAUGAAUGCUAGGUGUAAGAGGUAUCGACCCCUUUUGUGCCGGAGUCAACACAAUAAGCAUUCCGCCUGGGGAGUACGGCCGCAAGGUUGAAACUCAAAUGAAUUGACGGGG